rnacentral:rRNA from 1 species
GACGAACGCUGGCGGCGUGCCUAAUACAUGCAAGUCGAACGCUUCUUUCCUCCCGAGUGCUUGCACUCAAUUGGAAAGAGGAGUGGCGGACGGGUGAGUAACACGUGGGUAACCUACCCAUCAGAGGGGGAUAACACUUGGAAACAGGUGCUAAUACCGCAUAACAGUUUAUGCCGCAUGGCAUAAGAGUGAAAGGCGCUUUCGGGUGUCGCUGAUGGAUGGACCCGCGGUGCAGUAGCUAGUUGGUGAGGUAACGGCUCACCAAGGCCACGAUGCAUAGCCGACCUGAGGGGGUGAUCGGCCACACUGGGACUGAGACACGGCCCAGACUCCUACGGGAGGCAGCAGUAGGGAAUCUUCGGCAAUGGACGAAAGUCUGACCGAGCAACGCCGCGUGAGUGAAGAAGGUUUUCGGAUCGUAAAACUCUGUUGUUAGAGAAGAACAAGGACGUUAGUAACUGAACGUCCCCUGACGGUAUCUAACCAGAAAGCCACGGCUAACUACGUG